rnacentral:rRNA from 1 species
AGCGAACGCUGGCGGCAGGCUUAACACAUGCAAGUCGAACGGGCAUCUUCGGAUGUCAGUGGCAGACGGGUGAGUAACACGUGGGAACGUACCCUUCGGUUCGGAAUAACUCAGGGAAACUUGAGCUAAUACCGGAUACGCCCUUUUGGGGAAAGGUUUACUGCCGAAGGAUCGGCCCGCGUCUGAUUAGCUUGUUGGUGGGGUAACGGCCUACCAAGGCGACGAUCAGUAGCUGGUCUGAGAGGAUGAUCAGCCACACUGGGACUGAGACACGGCCCAGACUCCUACGGGAGGCAGCAGUGGGGAAUAUUGGACAAUGGGCGCAAGCCUGAUCCAGCCAUGCCGCGUGAGUGAUGAAGGCCUUAGGGUAGUAAAGCUCUUUUGUCCGGGACGAUAAUGACGGUACCGGAAGAAUAAGCCCCGGCUAACUUCGUG